UGGCGGCAGGCCUAACACAUGCAAGUCGAGCGGAUGAAGGGAGCUUGCUCCCUGAUUUAGCGGCGGACGGGUGAGUAAUGCCUAGGAAUCUGCCUGGUAGUGGGGGAUAACGUCCGGAAACGGGCGCUAAUACCGCAUACGUCCUACGGGAGAAAGCAGGGGACCUUCGGGCCUUGCGCUAUCAGAUGAGCCUAGGUCGGAUUAGCUAGUUGGUGAGGUAAUAGCUCACCAAGGCGACGAUCCGUAACUGGUCUGAGAGGAUGAUCAGUCACACUGGAACUGAGACACGGUCCAGACUCCUACGGGAGGCAGCAGUGGGGAAUAUUGGACAAUGGGCGAAAGCCUGAUCCAGCCAUGCCGCGUGUGUGAAGAAGGUCUUCGGAUUGUAAAGCACUUUAAGUUGGGAGGAAGGGCAGUAAGCUAAUACCUUGCUGUUUUGACGUUACCGACAGAAUAAGCACCGGCUAACUUCGUGCCAGCAGCCGCGGUAAUACGAAGGGUGCAAGCGUUAAUCGGAAUUACUGGGCGUAAAGCGCGCGUAGGUGGUUCGUUAAGUUGGAUGUGAAAGCCCCGGGCUCAACCUGGGAACUGCAUCCAAAACUGGCGAGCUAGAGUACGGUAGAGGGUGGUGGAAUUUCCUGUGUAGCGGUGAAAUGCGUAGAUAUAGGAAGGAACACCAGUGGCGAAGGCGGCCACCUGGACUGAUACUGACACUGAGGUGCGAAAGCGUG
rnacentral:rRNA from 1 species